CCAACACCUGCCCGAAGGCACUCACCAGUUCCCCAAUCCAAAUUGCCCCAAGCCUCCGAGAAGGCCACCGCAAGCAAACUCACUGCAAAAGUAGGGUAAUACACCACCAGGCGUUGCGUUACCCAAGGAAACCCGCCGCCCGGCACCGACAUAUUUCAUAUCUCUCCGUAAGACCCGCGAUGCCUGACGGAUGUGACAACGUUCCGUCACUUCCUCCCAAUCAGUCAGUUUAAACCCUAACGACAAUGCCACCAUGCUCCUGUCCAUUGC